ACGUGUGAAGCUCUCCAGCACUUCCUCUCCGGCCCUUUUAAAAGCCGCCGUACCAUUCUAGCACUGCUUCAUUGACUCGCUCGCCUGACGUUUCCCCACGACCAGAAGACACCAUGCUGGGGACCCUCUGCCUUCUCAUCAGCGCGCUGACUUAUGUUGACGCAGCCAAGGUGCUGACCCAGACACCGGCAGUGCUGACAGUUCCUGUAGGACAACAAGUUGUUUUCAACUGUGACAUCCAGAGGGACGACGGCUAUGUUGUCAGUUUUUAUAAACAGGUUCCCGGAGACGCUCCUCAGUUUGUGCUGUAUUAUUACCAUACGCAUUCCUCACCUUCCUUGGGAGGAGGAUUCCCCUCAAGUCGUUUUGAUGCGAAAUCAUCCUCCCCGACAAAUUACAAGUUAAUCAUUAAACAGGCUGAGGUCGGAGACUCUGCUGAGUAUUAUUGUAGCACAUGGGACAGUGCUGCUAGUGUACUCGUAGUAUUCGGAGGAGGAACCAAGCUGUUUGUGACAAGCUCUGACCUCCCUGCGCCCGUGGUGACGGUAUUUCCACCGGCCAGCGCCGAGCUUCAGUCCAAAAAUGCCACCCUGGUCUGCGUGGCCACUCAGUCGUCUCCAUAUGCAGACGUCACAUGGUUGGCUCACGGCGUUCCAGUGAGCGGUGCCAUCACGACCGACCCCGCCGUGCGACAGGCGGACCAAAGUUACAAAAUCAGCAGCUAUUUGACCGUGGAGACUUCCGAAUGGAACACAGACACCGCUUACACCUGUAAAGUGUCUUUGGGCUCCAAGUCAGCUGAAAGCACCAUCAACAAGUCCAAGUGCGCACCCUAGACGGUCAGCAUUUAGGUUGUGGGCUGAUCAGGCCAUAACAAUGAUUUGUUUGCAUGCUUGUAGGGAGUGUUGACUUUUUCUUUCUGCUUUAUACUUGCGAGGGUGUAUUAGAAUUCUUCAAUAAAAAAAAUGCCAUCAAAGCUUUUUGGGGCCUGGUGAUUA